ACCGUAGUGGUUCAUUCCAGCCUGUACUUGUAAGUUGUGGGUUCACUGGCAUAUCGGAACUUAACACGCCCGAAGAAGACGUACGUACAUGGCAGCUACACAAAUACACCCCAAAGAAAGCGGCGUCAUUAGCCUCGAAUACGAUUGUAUCAGCAUCAGAAUAACCACACACAAGCCAAAAGCUGAAGAAGUGUAAAAAUGUGCACCAGAUGGUACGAGAGAAAUGGGGACUGCUUCCAUCACUUUUUAUAGAGUGGCCGCUAGGAACUAAGAACAGGAAUCCGAUUGCCAGCGCCAGCCAUGGGGGCGCCGAAGUCCGCUGCAGUCCCCACAUGCUUGACUCAGGCGACCGGUGCUGAAUGCUCCAUGUUGCUUCCAGAGUC